CAAACUUUAGGGAAGAUGGAACAGACAUUAUUUUCUUGAAUUUACACAGAAGGAAACUGAGGUUCAGUGAAUUGCUUAAUAUGCCUUACCACGUGUUCUACUGCUUUUUCUAACAUACCAUUGCACAGUCCAAAAAACAAACAGAAAUACAUCAGUUUUGUAGUUGCUGCUGAAAGAUUCUACUAGACAUAACUUCAUAAUCAUCCUAUUAGAUUAUUUUUGAUCUACUGGCCACCUUCAAAGGCCUAGAAAACAAAAGAGGAGGAACGGAAGUUCCUUGAGUCUGAUGCUUUUGGAGCCCUGCAGCAUAUCCACCUCUAAUACUGGCUGAAGCCGCAGUGUUCCUAUCUUCCACGGCAGAGAACUCCAUGAGACAGUGAAAAGCAGCUCCAGGUGUAUGAAUGACUCUUAUUGAAGACAGGUGUCUGAUGAUUGGCAUCAAAGCCUUAUGCCAGGAGCUCUCUUUCAUGAGCCAGGUACUGCUGUACCCACAAUGCCAUGAGGUUGAGCAG